rnacentral:rRNA from 1 species
AGACCCGAAACCCGGUGAUCUAGCCAUGGGCAGGUUGAAGGUUGGGUAACACUAACUGGAGGACCGAACCGACUAAUGUUGAAAAAUUAGCGGAUGACCUGUGGCUGGGGGUGAAAGGCCAAUCAAACCGGGAGAUAGCUGGUUCUCCCCGAAAGCUAUUUAGGUAGCGCCUCGUGAAUUCAUCUCCGGGGGUAGAGCACUGUUUCGGCUAGGGGGCCAUCCCGGCUUACCAACCCGAUGCAAACUGCGAAUACCGGAGAAUGUUAUCACGGGAGACACACGGCGGGUGCUAACGUCCGUCGUGAAGAGGGAAACAACCCAGACCGCCAGCUAAGGUCCCAAAGUCAUGGUUAAGUGGGAAACGAUGUGGGAAGGCCCAGACAGCCAGGAUGUUGGCUUAGAAGCAGCCAUCAUUUAAAGAAAGCGUAAUAGCUCACUGGUCGAGUCGGCCUGCGCGGAAGAUGUAACGGGGCUAAACCAUGCACCGAAGCUGCGGCAGCGACACUCAGGUGUUGUUGGGUAGGGGAGCGUUCUGUAAGCCUGUGAAGGUGGCCUGUGAGGGUUGCUGGAGGUAUCAGAAGUGCGAAUGCUGACAUAAGU